AUUCUACAUAACAGUUUUUAGUUCAUCCGAAUAUUACACUUGUGUUUCGCAUUAACAUGUACGAAAUAAUAUGAUCUAACGAUUUUUUGAUUUAUUGUUGUACCUUGGUCCACAUGCCCAUCAUUGGUUCAUCCAAACAUUGCACGUGUGCUUGGCAUCAACUUGUACGAAAUCUUAUGAUCUGACCUUUUCUUAUUUUCUCAUUGUACUUAUAAAAUAGAUGAAUUUUGAAUUUCUCGUUUCCGAAAAUGGAGGAG
rnacentral:lncRNA from 1 species